rnacentral:rRNA from 1 species
GUGCCAGCCGCCGCGGUAAUACGUAGGGCGCAAGCGUUGUCCGGAAUUAUUGGGCGUAAAGAGCUCGUAGGCGGUUUGUCGCGUCUGCUGUGAAAACGCAAGGCUUAACCUUGCGCCUGCAGUGGGUACGGGCAGACUAGAGUGCGGUAGGGGAGACUGGAAUUCCUGGUGUAGCGGUGGAAUGCGCAGAUAUCAGGAGGAACACCGAUGGCGAAGGCAGGUCUCUGGGCCGUUACUGACGCUGAGGAGCGAAAGCAUGGGGAGCGAACAGGAUUAGAAACCCCAGUAGUCC